GGGGAAAAAAAAUAAUCAUUUAUCUCUUAAUUUCUUUCUUGUAUCAAAUUCAUCAAGUGCAUCUUUUUUCCUCAGAAAAUGCUUGUCUCGAGGUAAUACCAUUGAACUAGGACUGAAUUUCAUUAGCAAACUGUGCCUGGACAUACCUGAGUAGGUACAAUCACUAAAUAAUUAAACACCAAUGUACAGUACAUCACUGUAUGACUGCUAUCUUAAUCAAAAAAUAUGCACCAAAAAUGGAGUAGGAAAAUGUCCAAAUACCAUUUAUAUUCAUUUUAACCUAACGAGAGUAAAUAAAGCAGUAACCAGAAGGGUGGGCAAGACGUGGCUAUUAGGACCACAAGCACUCAACAGGGAGAAAUUCCCAUUCAGGAACAAUGAUAGAGCAAAGAUAGAUGGGUAUUUUAGCACUUCUCAGGUCUGGCAGAAACUACAAUAAAAAUGUUUAAAAAUGUUGACUAGCUUGUUUUGAGAAAUGCUGCAUCAACUGAUGAAAAAAAUAAAUGGAAUUAGCUGGUUCUGCAGGAACACUAAAAGAGAUGCCAAGGGCAAUUUUGCAAAGCUGCUGCAAAUUUCCUUCAGCACGAGGUGAUUGCUGCAGCUGCUUCAGACAGCUGAGUGCUCUCAUCUCCCCGCACACCAAACAAAAAGUGGAAGAAGGACCCACAAGCAGCCCACUGCAUUGCAUCAUCUGUAUGAAAAUAAAAAUAUGCUUUUCAAUUUAGCAUUAGGUUCCUACUAAAUCAUAGGGACAACACUAAUUAAUAACUGUAUCUAUAGUCGUCAAGACAGAGGUGAUGCUGCAGGGACUCUAACAACAGAAACUAAGGAAUUGCAAGGAAGAACAGCACUAUUCCUAUGAGCAGCUCAGGCCUCCCCUGUUAUCCUGCAGCAGAGCUUGGGACUCGAUGUUCUGCUCCUGUGGCUGGGACUCCAAGCACUGCUGCUGCAAAAGAAAGAGUGUGACUGGAAGUCUGGAGAGUAAACACGGACAGUGCACAGAAAGGAAACAAAAGUGGACAUUUAGAAGGUGGAGAAAAAGGGAAACCAAGGUGAAGUAUCUUGCAGUUAAGUAAACACAGAUACUACAACAACAGUAAAAACAAAUACCACUGUGGACAACCUGGUCUAGAGGAAGGUGUCCCUGCCCAUGGCCAGUGGUUGGACUGCAUUGUCUUUAAGGUCCCUUCCAAAACAGAGUCAAAGGAUGGUUUAGGUCAUGGAAGAGCAGUAGAGGCAAAACAUCUGUAGCGCUUAGCCCACUGUAAUCAAGAUACCUUACAAAAGACCUUCCUAACCCACAGCAUGGUAGGCUCUGUGUUUGCAGUAUCUCAUGUACACAACCUUUCAUCUUCAGUCCAACACAAAAUACCAACUUACAUUUUAUUUACUGUUUUUCUCUAAUUUAGAACGUUCACAUUCACAUUAUCGCAGAGCUUUGCUCGGUACGCAGAACAGCAAUGAUGUUUUAAAGCUCUGCAGUCAGCUCCUCCAUUUUCUAUCUGCUGUGCAAUUCCAUUCAUCAGAUAACCACCUCUUCAGUCCUCAGUGUGCUCACACUGCUGUACUGUGCUGCUCUCCAUUGUUUCAAAUCUUCAGAUUUAAAAAUCACAUCCAACUCACACCUGAAAUCAAUUCUAUCAAAAAGUACACGUGAAAAAAAUCUUUACAAAAAAAAAUCCAGAAGAAACAGGUGUUGGUUUAGAAGAGCGGAGAUUAAUUUAUUUUUGAAAUUAACUAAUAUGCUAUUUAGUUGCUAUUUAGAACAGGGUGCUGGGAGACAGAACAUGGAGAAGACCUGAGGAGUUACUUAAUUUUGGAAGUUACCAUUUCUUUCACAGUUCUGUACUAAAAGCUUGCCAUUAAAGACAGAGAAUAAGUAGUGUCCACUCUCAACCCAAUUAUUAAAACAAUAUCCACCUGUUUAGUUCUGUGAACGCUCAAGAAAAUACAGUCACCUUUACCUGUAGCCUAGAGGUAUUAAUAAGCACCUGCUACGCUCCACCCUGCCUUACCUAACAACAUAACUGCAGGUUGCAACACAGCCCUUUGCUCAAGCCUUGUGAAAAGAAAGAAACAACUCCUGGCUUCAAAGCAUUACAGGCAGAUUUUCUCCCCUAGUAGAGACAAGCUGCGCAGAUACUUUGCUUUUUGAACACAGAUUUUAAACAAUGAGAUGUGUAGCACCUUACAGGUACAGAUGAUCAGCACUAAACAACUAGUGAUGAAAACUAAUGGAAGACACUGGGUAGUGAAGGGUCAUAGGUAACUGAACUCAUUCUCUUUGCUUCUUAAAGGUACUUUUAUUUAACGUAGACACAUACCUAAGCUAUAACAGAUGCCAUCAGUGAAUAUUACUUUAACUUGUGAUAGGUUUUUUUUUUUUUUUUUUUUUUUUUUUUUUUUUUUUUUACAUAUUACGAUGUUUACCAUAUAAAACACACAAGUACAGCAAUUAAACAAACAACAACAAAAACCUGUUCUUUAGCCUUAGGUCUUGUCUACACGAGAAAAUUGCAAAAUUCCACGUCAGCUCUAGUUCAUUUAGAACAGAUGCGUGCACUGAAUCUCAAGUUAAGAACUGAUUAAAUUUAGUUUAAAACUAGAAUUAUGCCACUCUUAAAACAGAUUAAGCCAAUGUUACCCUUUUGAUAUGAGGCUUACACUGUGCUAUGGAUGGUUUCUGCAGAGAAACCUUUUCAAACUAUAAUUAAUAUGCUGGAAAAUAUUCUAUUGCAGAGUGAUAAAAUGCAACAAAAAUAUUUCAAUUAAAAAAAUUAGUUUUGAGUAAUAAUUUUAUUCAGAUUUUUCUUCUGCAAAACUAACUCCUUGAAGAAGUAUCUGUCAUCUGUAGGCUCACCUUCUUUGUGAGCCUCAGGCAUAAAGAAGUGUAAACAAGCCGUAUCUACAGUAUGUCAACUUCCCAUGUUUUACAUACCUAUACUUAUCAUUCAUAUGCCAAAGAAGUAAAACAGAGAGAGAAAAAGAACUCUGAGUUUUUACUGUGAAGAAUUUCAGAUUUUAGACCACAUGGCACUCUAACCUCUUUUAGAAAUAGGUACGUCCUAAUCAGAACUUCACUGUGGCUGUUAUCCUAAUAUUUAAUACAUCAACAGAUACAAACAUAAGUAAUUUUAAGUUAGGCUCAUUAUCAGAAAUAAAUAUUUGUUUAAAGCUCUGCCAAACAUCUAUGAUUUGUUCUCUUGUUUUCUAUACAAACUGUGUACUUGAGAAUUUACACUUAAAGGACUAUUUCAUCCAGAGGAUAAGUUCUCCAGAGAGGAUUCUGGAGCAUUCUGUGAAAUACUCUACUAUUGCAUCCUGUAGGACAAGUGCCUAAGAACUGUCAACAGGUGGCCUCUCUUCUCUCAUUCCUGCGUGCAAGCGUGACCUAGUUAGGAGUCUGCCAGACGAGGGGAAACUAUCACAAUUCAGGCAUGCUCACACAAUAUGGUUGAAUUUAACAGCUGAAGCAUCUUCAGCUGCCGUAAGUUUCUCACAAUUCUUAACGCUGACCACAUACAUAAGGCUGUAUAUAUGCGUAUCCACAGACCAAGUAGGAUUUUUCUAACCCGUGACUAUGGAGGAGAGUGUCUGUCUGCUUGCAAUCUCAGUUCAGUCUCUCACUACGUAAUGAAUUAAGAGAGCCUUUAAUUAUAUGAUCACGUGAUAUUUUUUCCAUGGACCUAUCUCAGUCAGCACACAGGAAAGACCUGCUCUAGCAAUGAAUCACAGCUGGGCUGCAGAGCAGAUUGUUGUCUGCCUCGCUGCUGAGGGUGGAAAGUAUGUAAUGCAAAGACUGGCUCUCAGGCAGAAGAGAAGGGAUUGUUGGUUAAGGUGGAUGCUGCCCUAAAGAACUGCAUUCUAACUACAUCUCUGCUGAAGACUUGCUGUUUGAUACCACUCAUAUUACUUAAAUACAGUAUUUAAAGAAAUGGACGUUAACGCUCAUUUCCCAGGCAUCUGCUUCAAUAAACUAAUGGCAGGUUUGCCGAAGUGCUACAACCCUGAAAUUGGAGCAAGCUUCUGAGGAUGGCAGAGGGCCAACGUGGAAGCAGACAGAUCUGGAUUUCGGCCAGUCUAUCUCAACAUCAUUAUGUAAUGCAGCCAUAAAAACGCACAGUCUGUAAGAACCCCUACCUGGUUACACUGAAAGAAGUACAGCUGACCAACGACAGCAGUGAUCUACCCUCGCUUCAGUGCUGAAGCACAGAGCACUGAAUGUUUCAGGGAUUAACCUACGCACUCACGCCCAAGGCCAUACGAGAGCUAAACAGAGACCUUCACACAGGUGGCACAAUGGAACUGGACAAGCAAAAGAUGUUCCUUUUUCAUUGUAAGGAGAGUUUUUCAGACUUUAAAAAAAAAAGGCACGCUAACAUUGAAACUGAGGGAAUGAUGGAAGCUGUGCAUACAGUGACGUUCUUUAAAGCUGUAGCAUCUGCGAGUGAGGUAAGAUGCAUCUAUUUGAAAUCUCCUGAUGGCAGAAGACAUUUCAUUUCAUACGAAAUGCUCAUCAAAAUUAUAUGCGACAAUGUGACAUUUCUAAAACAGAAAUGAAAUGCCAACUGAAAUAAACAGCAUUUCCUAUUUAAACAAUAUGCUUACCAUUCAGCACCAACAACACACAGAAUAUUUCCCAGUGCCAGGCUCUUUUUGGAUACCGGCAGCAUGGUGUCUGCCCUCUUUGUCUGGAACAGUAAAAAUCAUUCUGGUCUCCACAGUGAAUACCAAGACAUCCUAAAUCCCAUCUCGGUUCUGCCUCACUAACACUACUUUUGAGUCCAAAUGUAAAUGUCCCUUAUUUUCUUCUUACAUAUUCUUCUGCCUUUACUCUGAAGGUAAUUGACAAACAGAAGAAAUAAAUGAUGGUUCCUCACCAGUUGUUUUUUUUUUUCCACCCUUUUCUAUUUAUUCUGAGAGUAACGCACAGAUUCAAGAUUUGGGUCACUUACACUGACCCACCAACGUUACACUUCAGAAUUAGCCAUUGUUUGAGUAUCUCAUCAGCAUCCUGAGUUUAAAUGCUGCUUUCAUUGUUUCCACAGUUUAAAAAAUGGGAGAGGGAUUGUUUCAGUCAAUUCACUGUGAAUAGGUAAGGGCACAUAAGAACGUAGGCAGACCAAGAAUAACGCCUUCCUGGCUGGAAUCCUUCCAAAAUAAGCACCACUCCACUGCAGCUUUAACUGUGCAGUCCUUCCACACUGCUUGCCCUGGCUUCCUCUUCUUGCUCUUCAGAGAUGUCGGUGUUACCAACCUUAAACACAUCUGUUCUUACAGUUAUCUGUAUAUGACGGCACUGCAGGUGCCAUUUAACAGAUACAGCUGUGACUUUUCAGCAGUCAAUGAGCUUUUGGGAGAAUUUAGCACGAGAGCACGAGUCUCACCGCUGACAUACGAAGAACACCUAGGAAGUUUCAUGUUCCUAUAUAUGACACACCUUAUUAGCUAGAAAGUUUAUACUGUGCUGUCAUCAAGAGAAAUUUUAAUAACGUCCUUUCACAAGCAAACCAGAAAUUCAAGUAAACUAGGAUUCUCUUGUUUGUUUAGUAUUUAUCCCCACCCAAUUAAAUAAAAAACCCUAUAAAUAAUAGUCUAAAGCCUACAAAACCACAAAUCCAGUACAAAACAAAAGAUGUGAAAUAAUAUUGAAACCACACUAAAAUACAAGUUUUUGGCCCUGACAUACACUGCGCAGUAAGAAAUGUUUGAUUUAAAAGUGCUACAAUUCCAAAUGUAGAAAUUCACAAAAAUACAACAUCAGAACAUAAGAUGUUAAUGACUUCUUGUCAUUUUGCUCAAAAGAAUGUUUUCUCUAUCAUGCAAAUGCAGCUGCAUGGCCCAUAUUAAAAAGACUGAGCUAAAUGGUAACAUGCAACUUCCAACUCAAAAAC